rnacentral:rRNA from 1 species
GAUCAUGGCUCAGAACGAACGCUGGCGGCAUGGAUUAGGCAUGCAAGUCGAACGAAGCAGCAAUGCUUAGUGGCGGAAGGGUGAGGAACGCGUGAGUAAUCUGCCCUCAAGUUGGGAAUAACAGCUGGAAACGGCUGCUAAUACCGAAUGUGGCUGUUGGGUCGCAUGGUCUGACAGUUAAAGAUUUAUUGCUUGAGGAUGAGCUCGCGUCCCAUUAGCUAGUUGGCGGGGCAACGGCCCACCAAGGCGAUGAUGGGUAGCUGGUCUGAGAGGAUGGUCAGCCACACUGGGACUGAGACACUGCCCAGACUCCUACGGGAGGCUGCAGUCGAGAAUCUUGGGCAAUGCGCGAAAGCGUGACCCAGCCAAUGCCGCGUGCGUGAUGAAGGUCUUCGGAUUGUAAAGCGCUGUCAACCGGGACGAACUUAUGACGGUACCGGUGAAGGAAGCCACGGCUAACUACGUGCCAGCAGCGGC